UGACUGGAGGUGUGUGUGCAUUCCAGAGGAUUCUCUAGGAUUUGGGUGAUAUGGAAAGGACUAAUGGUAGAUGGCUCUGUGUGUUUCUGGACUUUGUCAGACACUGUUAUUAAUGGAUUGAAUCCAUUCACAUUUUUUCCAGCUUCAUCACUAUCAAAUGUCUAGUGCCUGUAAAGGUUAAAUAGAUAAGCCUGAGUCCUCAGUGUUGCUUCCCAUCAGUUGAUGGCUUUUCUCACCAGAAGUUACUCAGAGUUUGCAGCUAGUUAGCAGUUUUGCUUGAGAGAGCACGUGGUUCCAUCCACACCACGCUAGAGUCAGCUGCAGAAACUGAUUCAGUAUUCGAAAGGUUAGGUUGGGCUUUUAUCUACUUGUCAGGCUAAAUUAUGCAGAAUUAAGUUUAAAGUAUUUUAACACCUGACUUCUUCUUCUUCGGGAAAAUACCAAAUGGCGGGCAACGCCGGUGCAGCAGGAGGGCCCCGGGGGCCCAGGACUAGGAGGCCGCGGCUUCUGCGGAGGAUUCAGCAGCGGUCUUAGAGGGGCCGCUGUCGUGGUCGGGGCCGAGGUCCCAGGGCUCGUGGAGGUAAAGCUGAAGACAAGGAGUGGAUCCCCAUCACCAAGCUGGCCCGCCUGGUUAAGGACAUGAAGAUCAAGUCCCUGGAGGAGAUCUGCCUGUUCUCCCUUCCCACUAAGGAAUCCGAGAUCAUUGACUUUUUCCUGGGCGCAUCCCUAAAGGAUGAGGUUCUAAAGAUCAUGCCAGUGCAGAAGCAGACUCAGGUUCAAGGCUUUUGUCACUAUUGGGGACUACAAUGGUCAUGGUGCACUGCCAUCCGAGGGGCCAUCAUCCUGGCCAAGCUGUCCAUUGUCCCUGUGCGGAGAGGCUACUGGGGGAACAAGAUUGGCAAGCCCCACACUGUCCCGUGCAAAGUGACAGGCCGCUGUAGCUCUGUGUUGGUACGUCUCAUCCCUGCCCCCAGGGGCACUGGCAUCGUCUCUGCUCCUGUGCCCAAGAAGUUACUGAUGAUGGCCAGUGUUGAUGACUGCUACACGUCAGCCAGGGGCUGCACUGCCACCCAGGGCAACUUUGCCAAGGCCACCUUUGAUGCCAUCUCCAAGACCUACAGCUACCUGACCCCCGACCUCUGGAAAGAGACUGUGUUCACCAAAUCUCCUUAUCAGGAAUUCACUGACCAUCUUGUGAAAACCCACACCAGAGUGUCUGUUCAGAGAACCCAGGCUCCAGCUGUGGCCACCACAUAAGGGUUUUUAUACAAGAAAAAUAAAGUGA